AGGAAUUUCUACACAAGAGAAGAACAGAAGCCACAUAUUGAGGGAACAAUCAGAGCCUUUUGGGUGAUUGCAUUUCUAGAUUUGACAGAUUGAUUCUGGUGUUCUCACCUGCUCUAAGGCACUGGGAGACAGCAGGGGAAAAGAAGAGGAUGGCGCAGCCAGCGGUGACUUUGCAACAGCGGAAAAGCAGGCAGCCACAACUCUCUUGGCGUUGUCGCCUUACUCCACAAGCAAGCUGUUGAACUGAAGGGGCUGGAUUUGGCCAAUUACAAGUUGCUGCUGGGAAGCCCGCAAGCAGGACAUGAGUGCAAUAGGUCAAGCCCCCUGAAAAGUGACUAGAAACUACAACCAUUUUUCUAACAGUGACAGAGCCACCUAUUGUAGGCUGAAUGAAAGCCUGUCCUCCCCCCACCCCCAGUCCCUGCAGCUAUAAGGCUAAGUAUAUGAAUGGCAAAACCCUUGUGAUUGACGCUCUUUCAACAAAAACAGAUCCCGUUGACUGAUGAUAAGAGGCAAAGUCAUACAACAGUGUUUACAGAACAGUGCAGGAUAGCAAAAAAUGAGUGAUAAAAGCACUAAUCUUAUUGUUUCUCUAGAUGAGACAGUGACCUUUUGUAUUUGCACUUGCACAAGCCCACACAUUGUACUCCCCACCCUCUAUCUGAGCUUUUGGCUGCAGAAAAAAAAUCCAGAUUCUGAAUGCAAAUGUGAGCCAGUACCUUAAGCCACACAGCUUGACUAUACUUUAGUUUUCGGAAAGCAAAAUGCUCAUUCUUUAGGAUUGUUGUGCUUCUGUUUGCUGUAAAUCACCUCUUGCAGAAGAUUUACAUUAAAAAC